rnacentral:rRNA from 1 species
UACGUAGGGCGCAAGCGUUGUCCGGAUUUAUUGGGCGUAAAGAGCUCGUAGGCGGCUUGUUGCGUCGGCUGUGAAAACCCGUGGCUUAACUGCGGGCUUGCAGCCGAUACGGGCGGGCUGGAGUUCGGUAGGGGAGACUGGAAUUCCUGGUGUAGCGGUGAAAUGCGCAGAUACCAGGAGGAACACCGGUGGCGAAGGCGGCAUCCUGGACCAACACUGACGCUGAGUGAGCGAAAGCCAGGGGAGCAAACGGG